CACCAGACUCCUACGGGAGGCAGCAGUGGGGGAUAUUGCACAAUGGGGGAAACCCUGAUGCAGCGACGCCGCGUGAGUGAAGAAGUAUUUCGGUAUGUAAAGCUCUAUCAGCAGGGAAGAAGUUGACGGUACCUGAGUAAGAAGCCCCGGCUAACUACGUGCCAGCAGCCGCGGUAAUACGUAGGUGGCAAGCGUUAUCCGGAUUUACUGGGUGUAAAGGGCGUGUAGGCGGGGACGCAAGUCAGAUGUGAAAACCACGGGCUCAACCUGUGGCCUGCAUUUGAAACUGUGUUUCUUGAGUACUGGAGAGGCAGACGGAAUUCCUAGUGUAGCGGUGAAAUGCGUAGAUAUUAGGAGGAACACCAGUGGCGAAGGCGGCUUACUGGACGAUGACUGACGCUGAGGCUCGAAAGCGUGGGGAGCAAACAGGAUUAGAUACCCCGGUA
rnacentral:rRNA from 1 species